GGUGGCACAGCAGGGUCACCACGGCACAGAGGGUUCACUCAGCAGGUCCCUGGGUUGAAGGAUACCCCAAGGGCUCUGCCAGGAGAGGAGCAGGGCUGGCAGGCUUAGGGGCAGGUUUCCCCUCCUCGUGCAAGAUUGUUGACCCACACCAGAGCAGUGGGGACUGUGCCAGGCCCCCACCCAUCCCACAGGCCAGAUCACCCACCAGGACCGGGCACAGCACCGUGACACAAGGGCUGGCCCGAGGCCUGGCAGCAGGCACGCUCCUGCCUGCCCCUGCCCGUGGUGUGGCUCAGCGGGCAGGAACGGGAGCACCCUGCACCGCACCGGGUCUCAAAACACUUCUCUCCCACACCACCUCUACCAACUGGAAUCCCAACCCAGCAGGUCCUAUAGGUGUUUUGCUGCUGCUGCACCACGGCACCACUCACGGCAAUCCCAGCCCAUGGUGUCCCCAGAGCCGGGGCCGUGCCUGACCCCAACCUUUCCGCAGCAGCCUGGAGCCCGGCGCGUCGCUGCUGUCGACGGGGAGAUGGAGGCCCGUGCAGGCCAAGGAUCGAAGUGGAUUCCCACGAAACGGGUCAAGCCAUGGCUGAAUAAAGACAACAAAGAUUCAACGGAUGCAGAUGGACAGGAGGGAGAGAAGUUGUGAGGACUGUUUCAGCUGUAAACCGUGGAUCCUAAUUCAGUGUUAUAGAUGCUCACAGACCUGGUGGUCUAGAAGCCUGUUAGCAAGCAGGUGGUGUACCUUCUGUGGAGAAUGGCAAUUUGAGCAAACAUCAGGAGAGCCAAAAGGGCGAUAUUACACUGAGAUAGUCAAUGCAAAAAUGAGGUAAAAUUAUGGGACGUUCCUACCAUAGUAUCUACUGCACUCCUUCUCCCUUGUGUAGCAGCUGUUACAGCAGCAGUUAUAGAUCUCUUACUUUUAACACUAGGUCAUGGCUGUGAAGAAUUUGAGAGAAUGUGUUGUAGUAUUCACUUGUAUGAUCCUUCGGAAUCUAUUCAUAGUAUUUUAGACAAACUAAACCAGCACAUUACUAAGAUUGUCAUAGUAGAAGUAGGGUUUGACAAAUGGUUUAAAAGCCUGGAAAUAGGUGGGUAGUUGUUUGAUCUUAUUAGGUAAGGCUCAACUGCAUUAUAUGUAAUUGUAAUUAUGUUGUUAAUGAUGUGAUUGUAUGUUGCAGUGUAUUUCAAAGAUGAUUCAGCGUGUUGUAAACAAGGCCUGGCUGGUUCAAGAACAAAAAGGGGGAGCUGUGGGAGAUUUGAGGGAUUUUCUUGAAGUUAACGCGUGGAUGGGUUUCUAUUAGAUGGAGGUUUGUUAUUAAACUAAUCAAGCCCAAAAGAAUUUCAAGGCCACCUUGGAAAGCUGAAAACACGACGUGAAUCAACAGACCUAUUAGCAGUGAGACUCGGGCGCGUGGACAGCUCGGGAACACGGAAAAUAUCCAAUCAGCUAAUGCACGCGUGGAACGUGGACGUGUGAUCAGGAAAGAACUGCAUAUAUAAGGAGGCUUGUUUCUGUAAUAAAUGGCUUCGCUUGAA